rnacentral:misc_RNA from 1 species
UACGAACUGCGCGAACGUUAUUCGGAAUCACUGGGCUUACAGGGUGCGUAGGCGGCCUGCCAGGUCAGAUGUGAAAUCCCACGGCUCAACCGUGGAACGGCAUUUGAAACCGGCAGGCUUGAGUCAGCUAGAGGCGUACGGAACUUCCGGUGGAGCGGUGAAAUGUGUUGAUAUCGGAAGGAACACCAGAGGCGAAAGCGGUACGCUGGAGCUGGUCUGACGCUGAGGCACGAAAGCCAGGGGAGCGAACGGG